UAAUGAAGUUCUUGUUGUUUUUGUUUUUUUUGUUAUACUUUUCAUUAACUACAGAAAUAGAACUGUACAACAUAAAACUACUCGUGGCUAGUCUUAUUACUUUACGGUUUUAGA
rnacentral:ribozyme from 14 species